AACGCACAUUGCGCCCCUUGGUAUUCCGAGGGGCAUGCCUGUUCGAGCGUCAUUAUGACUAAUCCCGUCAAGGGGUCUUGGGGCUCGCCAUAUAGGCGUCCCCUAAAAUUAAUAGCGGUACCGUCGUACUCUAAGCGUAGUAAUUAUCCUCGCUAUAGAGUUCUGCUAAGUACCUGCUAAAACCAUUAUUUUAUUAGGUUGACCUCGGAUCAGGUAGGGAUACCCGCUGAACUUAA
rnacentral:misc_RNA from 1 species